CCGCCCCUUCCGGGAAUCCAGCUGUUGAGGAAACUAGCGGCGGCCCGGGGCCCGGCUCUGACUUACCUCAGAGGCUUUUCCGCGGUCAAGUACUCCGGCCCAGGUGAGGAAGGACCGGCGGUGGACGUCAGGAGCUGCUCCUCGCUGUGGCUGCCGGGCGGAGACGAACCUGGGCCCUGACUAGGACCGGACGGAGCUUGGUGCUGAAGUGGCGUCCAGCCACGCCCAGGCUCCUUACCGCCUCCCACCGCGUCCACCUCGCUCCUCAGCCGGUUCGCACAGCGGCUGGACUCACGGGAGAUGAAGCCUUAGAA